AACUUUGUGCAAUCUCAGUAUCGUAGCCCAAGAAGUUUAUCUGAGGCACAGUGAUUGCUAACUGAAAACAUUUCACAAAAUACCACCAUGACAAUUUUCAACAUUACAGGCAUUGAUAAUGUUGACAGAUUGAAUUUUAG
rnacentral:snRNA from 1 species